GUUCCCCCAGCCACCAGCAGGUGGGAGCAGCCGAUAGCCUCGCGCUGCCCAUCCCAACCUGUCCCAGCUCCAUUCCUGCCCCUCCCGCGGGCUGUGAGGGCUCCGGGAGCAAGGGAGGAGGAGAAGGAGGAAAGGAGGAAGAGGCGGAGCAGCAGCAGGAAGCAGCAGGAGGAGAGGGGAGGAUGAAGCGUGGGGCUCCGGUGCUGCCUGGACUCGCAGCACCCUGGGAGCAUCUACCCCCAUCCCCCAGGUGCAGUCCCCUGCACGCUACACCGAGCUCAAUGAGACGAAGGAGGCACUGUUUCCUUUUCACAACAAUAAUCUUGGACACUGUCCACCUCUUGGCCUGGCUGGACUUUUCCUGAGCUUUUGGGUGGUCUCCCACAGAAGACCCCUCUCAUUCAUUUACAACCACCAUGACAAGCUGAGAUGACAGAAGCCUCUCCACCAGAGAAGACCCCGAGAAAUCCCCAUGUGAGAAAACGCCUCCCUCACACUUUCCAAGGACUGGAGCCCCCAGCCCAGGGGAGGUGCACAGGGGGAGGCAAGCUGACCAGAGCAAAUUGGAUGACUGCAGGUGCGGGCACUGGACCACGAAAACAAUGGCCUUCGUUCAUUGCAAGGUGAACUGUGUGUACCCCUUUUCCAAAUACCAUUCUUUCUAUUCAAUAGAUUCGGUUUCAAAAUAAUCCCCUUCCCCCUCAUCAAGAACAGUAUAAUUAGGGUCCCGGAGGGACUGCAUCUCUGAGAUCUCCCCAGCGUAACAAGCGGAUCCUCGACUGGACUGGACCUCAGGACUUUGUCUCUAUGUUUGGUAGCUAUAUUCCCCUUUUUCUUUCUCUCUCUCUUUCUCUAUCUUUCUUUCCCUUAAUCCUUGUAUAGCAUUUUGCUGUGGUUAUUCAAUAAAGGUGCAUUUGUUUUGAUUAUUGCUGCAAAA